UGUUUUUAACUUAUGGCAAUAUAGUUGUUUGCAUCAGUGCAGUAAGAUUCCAAUUUUCUUUUGCAACAGGACACAAUUAGAGAAACUGGUAAUUUUAGCAAGGCUUUGGCUGGAAAGGCAUGCUUCCCUUUAAGGAGUGAAUCUCAACUUGCAAAGCCAAUAAAAGCCCAGUGGGGAAACUGGCCUCAUACCCUUGCCUAUGCAGUCCCUGUACAGGGUUCCUGACCUAUGGUCAGUAAAGAAUUCCACUUUCUAACAGGGCUAGGAGCUCCAAAUUUAUCUUGGGACCUUAAGAGGAGAGACUCACCAAACUCACAGGUGUUUGAGGAUGCAAACCCAUGGUUGGGCUCAGCUUUAAAAGGUUUUAUCUGAGAUUCCUUGUGGAACAAAAUUCCUUCAAAGCCAAUCCAAAAGGCAUAUGUAGAAAUAAUUAUUCUUGCUGCACUUUAUGCAAAUAAUCAGGCCAAGCAUAAGACUGAAGUCUGUUUUGCAAACCACUCAGUUCUUGUUAUAGUUUUUUUGACAAAAAUGAGAACUGGGGAGAAAUUAUGUUUCAAAACUUAUUUAUUUGUCAUUAAAUUCUAAACUCACUAGUUGUUUAAAUUUUUAGCCUACAUUUUAGACUAACCUUGCUGGUUCCUAUGAACCAACUAGGAGUCUCCAGCUGCGGCUCAGAAGGGGGACAAGAGGGAUGGGCCAUCAGACUCCAAAUAGUCAUGCGACCAGAGCCUCUGAUGAUGGCCCCUUCUCCAGGAACUCUUACAUUGGUCUCUGAGGGAGAUCUGACUGCUGUUUCCCCAAAACAGUACCCCCUGUUAGCAGGAAACAGUUAA
rnacentral:lncRNA from 1 species